GCUCUUCAGAUCUGCACAUCACGUACCAAGGAAGAAAGGAUCCUUCAAGGUGGACAGCUGGACAGUUUCAAGAUAAGGGAAACAAAGGAGACAGGAACCAACCGACAUGCCUGAAAUAGUUGCCGCUUCAGCUUUUUUGCAUGGGGAAGGUGGCUGCAGAGGAUUGGUAAUAGAUAAGGAGAAGGCCAGUUUAUUGGUUUAGGCCCCCCAAGGCACACAGGCAGGAUGUUUUGCCAACAGUAUAUAAUCUUUGUGUAACCUGUAAUUGGGGUCCCGUUCUGCUUAACAGAGCAGUACCACGCUCGAGCGUAAUAAACCUGCAAACUUUGAGA